CCUGAUCUGAUGAUGUUCUGUGAAACUGAAUAUGUUCUACACCAAGACCUAAGCUGUGAGUGCCGGAUCAGCUCCCAGAUGUCAGUGACUACUUUUCUCUUUCUCAACUCUAUAAGGUGACAAGAGCCUGUCUAAGGGCACAUCAUUUUGAGUGGCUCCAUUCUAUGGACCAGGGGUACCCAAAAUGUGCUCCACAGGGCAACGCCGGUCUGGGAUCUGCUUGCUACCAGUCUGAUGACAUGCAUACAGAACUUGAGGAUACUAUUAACUCAGAAACAUCUUAAGAAUUUAAGUUCACAUAAUAAUGCCUGAAUCAACCUAGCCCCAAGCCAACACUCAAACCUCAGUGGAGGAAUUCUUCAGUAGUUUUCUCAUGCCAUUUCAUUCACUAAAACGGGUCCCCAGCCGUAGGGGUCCAUGGAGAAUUUCCCUGACAACCUGCAUAUCCAGAGACUUUUCUUCC